UACAGAGGUCUCAAGCGUUGUUCGGAUUCAUUGGGCGUAAAGGGUGCGUAGGCGGCGCGGUAAGUCGGGGUGUGAAAUCUUGGAGCUUAACUCCGAAACUGCAUUCGAUACUGCCGUGCUUGAGGACUGGAGAGGAGACUGGAAUUUACGGUGUAGCGGUGAAAUGCGUAGAUAUCGUAAGGAAGACCAGUGGCGAAGGCGGCUCACUGGCCCCGGUACUGACGCUGAUGUGCGAAAAGCGUGGGGGAAGCAAACAGGG
rnacentral:rRNA from 1 species